UUCAAUCAACACCCACAGAGUGGCAGCGCGCUGUACUCCUUUGCCUCUGUUUAUGCCAAGCUCCUCGCUGUCUGAAGGGAGAAAAAAGAUCAGCUGAAAUCCUUGGAGAUUCCCAACUACCUCCUUGGUGAAACUUCUUGGUGAAGAGGAAAACUCGAAGAGGGGACUGAAUUGCUGUGCACAGGGCUGGCUGUGCUCUUACUGGGAGAAGGCACAGAUUCCUAGGGAGAGGUCCCUGAAGGAGGGGCUGCUCCAGCUUCCAGUGAAGAGGUCUGGUGCUCCCUCAACUGGUGGAGGGUGAGAGCUGAGCGUGAACAAACUUGAUCGAUUCACUUCAGGAGAAGGAAGCAACUCUUGCUACUCUUAAGCAGGAAGCCCAUUAUCCAAUUAUAGACAGGCAGUGGAGGACUCCAGCAGAAAUGAUACUCCUUAAAUCGAAAUUAAUGCACCCGGCCCAUAAAUAGCAAACAGGAAAUACAACUGCUAAUUUCUUCACAGAGCGUCCCAGCUAGGCUGUAACAGGGCACUUACAAGCGAUCCCUGGUUACAUUUCAUGGCUCUGGUGUGUACUUGUCCACGCAGUUAGAGCACUCUGCUCCUAUAUUGAUCAAAGUCCCGUUCAGAGCACCUUCACUUAAAUAGUGGCCUCUUUAAAACUUUUUAAAGCUUUAACACUGUACUUAUUUUCCCGAACCCUGUCCACCAUCAAUUACCAUUGAAAAGGAUGGCAGGUGUGUCAGAAAGUACCAUUGUGCCAGAGAAGAUGUUUGACUGAAUAAUGUAAUAAUACUCAUAUCAAGACAUUUUUUCUCAAGUAAGACCUUUUACUUAUCCAUUGUGUCUUCAGUAUAUAUUAAUCUAUGCCAAACUCUAAAUGGGUUAAUGUGGCUAUGAAAAGAACAACACAAUUUUGUGAGGAGAACAUGAAAAGACAUGAGUGAUGUGACUGUACUAAGUGUCUUAAUUAGGGUUUCUAUUGCUGUGAUCAAACACCAUGACCAAAAAGCAAGUUGGGGAGAAAAGGUUUAUUUGGUGUAUACUCCCAUAUUUCUGUUCAUAUUGAAGGAAAUCAGAACAGGAACUUAAACAGAGCUGGAUCCUGGAGGCAGGAGCUGAUGCAGAGGCCAUGGAGGAGUGCUGCUUUACUGACUUACUUCCCCUGGCUUACUCAGCCUACUUUCUUAUAGAACUCACAGGAUCACCAGCCCACAGAAGGCACCACCACCACCCACCAUGGCCUGGGCUCUCCCCCAUUGCUGACUAAUUGAGAAAAUGACUCACAGCUGGAUCUCAUGGAGGCAUGGGGCCUCCUAAACUGAGGCUCCUUUCUCUCUGAUGACUCUUGUGUCAAGUGGACACACAAAAUCAGCCAGUACACUAGGUACCACACAUUAAAUACUUGAGACAUCCCAUGUGCUCUCAAUGAACUUCAGCUGUCGCUCUCAUGGACGAAAUAUGGAGCUUUAACCUGUGAACCACACUUUACCAUUCUUUAAUUAUUUUUAGAGAAAUUACAGUGAGUUUGCGGGGUCAGAGGACAACUUUUAGAAGUCAGUUAACUCAUUGAACCAUGUGGAUUCUGGGGAUUUAACUCAGGUGGUUAUACAUGCUCUCAAACACCUUUACCAAUGAGCCAUUUUGCUGGCUUUCAGUUAUUGUGUUAAUUAAAGCUCAGAGAAUAUAAAUAAGUUGAUCAAUGCUAAACAGGCAGUAUACAGAAAAUACAGAAUUAGGACAGUUAACUGUAACUAUAAAGAUUCAAUUGAUAUUUAUUAAAUUUCUAUUUAGAAAACAAAAGUAAGUCUGCUACAGCACUAGGGAGAAUGUCCCCUACACCACGCCGGGGCAGCACAACAGAGUUGGCCCUGAAGGUGUAGAUGUGGGAGAUCUGACCCUGAGGAUGUGAAAGUAGGAGGCCUGGUCUAGUCCCUGUGCUACAAAGGGUGAGCUCACCAAGGCAAUGCAGGAGAGCGCACCCUGGUGGUGAGGACAAGGAAGAGCUGGUGUGCUGACCAAUCCUGCAACUACCCAGGCCCAGAACCAGGGUUAUGCAUUGACCCACCCCAAUAUCCAUUCCAUCUGUGAACUGCUGGAGCACAUGAAGGGACCCGUCCUACAGACCCAAAGCCCACAGGAUCUCCGCAACACAGGGCAACAGCAGCAUAACCAAAAGGGGCCCCAGUGAGGGCCCAGCACCGAUAGUGUAGCAGAAACCAGAGGCCUUGGAAGACCAAUGACUCUUUACAAUGAACACUUGCAAGUAAAGAUAUAUGGACAAAAGUGGUUAACUGUGUGACUCACUGUGUCACACUACAGCUUCCAUGGCGAGAUUUUUUUUUUUUUUUUUUUUUUUUUUGCUUUUAUUUCUUCUCUUUUUUCUCUUAAUCUUUAUCUGGCAGGGGUUGGGGGAUGGGGGAAGUAGAGGGUUACAGAGAGCAGAUAUGCAGGGCCAGGAAAUGAAUGGGAUGUAGAUGCAUGAUGUAAAAGACACAAAAAAUA